CUCUUAAAAUUGAUUUUUUCUCUAAAAGUUGAAAUUAAUUUUAAAUAGUCUUUUUUCGAUAUAACAACCACUAAGUCAUUCUUAUUCUAUUUGGAGCUGAAACUCCAGCAAACAAAAGAAGAGGAAAAAUGUGAGGAACAUAGAGCAAGGCAGCCAUGGUUGUUUUAAGAAUUAAAGGUAAGUUCUUAAAUUGUUCUCCGUGAAUUAAUUAUCUAUGGUGUUCAUCAACCAUAUGGAGAUGUAUAUAUGUAUCUUACGAUGUCUACGGAAUUAAUUCUUCAGCUUUACACCUAGAAGAGGGUGAAAGAACAAAGAGAGAAAACGUUAAGAGCUAGUUAACAAACCCAUUUUUGAAUGAGACUGUUGUUAGUAAUAUUAGUAUAACUUCUUUUGUACAGCUUCGUUUCGAGUGAUUCAAUAUGUUUUGUAAAGAUAUUUCAUAGGUCUAUAACUUUUAUGUAGACUUUAAAAUUCAUCUUUGCUUUUAUCUGCUCGAAAGAGGGUGAUGAAGUAUAGAGGAGGUACUGCCCAGAUUUUGGUUUUGGACAUCUUACACGGACUGCUGUUGAUAUUUUGGACAUAUAUUUUUGUACAUAAUUGAUUUAGGGGUGAUUUUAAAUUGUAUACGAUCCUAAGGCACAUUUCUAUAACUUUCAUGAAGGACAUAAAACCUAUUUCCCUCAAUUACCCCUUCAAAACAAAGCGACAAUGCAAGACAAUAAGCUGUCCAGAAUUCACGUUUUGAUAGUUUUGAGUUCGUUGUUUGGGGUUUGUAUUGUGUAAUGUUGGUGUGAAUUGCUUGUAUAUAUAUUGCAGGUUGUUGUUGUUGGUUGUCUGUAGUUAUUAGGGGUGGCUUGAAAAUUCAGAUAGGGCAUAUUAUAGGGGAGAUGCUGCUCAAUUUUCGUUAACACCUUAGCUAAUUAAAGAACUAGUCGAGGGAACGAACAAGGAAAUAGAUUCCAUGAAUACUAAGGUGCAACUAAAGGUGAUGAAAAGUCAAGAGUGGUUGAUAUUCGUAUUACUUCCAUGUUGAAUAGGUUCAAAGGACGACGAGGAGAACGUGACAAAAAGUGACUCGUACGAGGUAUAGGUACAGGUUUUGGAAGUCUGUCAACUUAGGAUUCUGCUCAGCUCAGCUGGAGGUGGCUCCAUUGUAUUAGAGCCUAGUUUUUGAUAUUGACCAUUAAUGUAUAAAAGUGUUCUGUCUAUUCAGGGGUAUGGUAGGGGCCCUGUCCCGCCAUAUGUUGUUAUUAAUAUGUUUAGAGGUCUGCAGAUUUGUAUAUGUGGGUUGUGUAUAUCAGUUUGAUUCAA